CACGUAGGGCGCGAGCGUUGUCCGGAAUUAUUGGGCGUAAAGAGCUCGUAGGCGGCCUGUUGCGUCCGCUGUGAAAGCCCGGGGCUUAACCCCGGGUCGGCAGUGGAUACGGGCAGGCUAGAGGUAGGUAGGGGAGAAUGGAAUUCCCGGUGUAGCGGUGAAAUGCGCAGAUAUCGGGAGGAACACCGGUGGCGAAGGCGGCUUUCUGGCCAUCAACUGACGCUGAGACGCGAAAGCGUGGGGAGCAAACAGG
rnacentral:rRNA from 1 species